rnacentral:rRNA from 1 species
UACAGAGGUCUCAAGCGUUGUUCGGAUUCAUUGGGCGUAAAGGGCGCGUAGGCGGUCGCGUGUGUCUGCUGUGAAAGCACACGGCUCAACCGUGUGAAGUCGGUAGAAACUGCGGGACUUGAGGCUGGGAGAGGUUGGUGGAAUUCCCUGUGUAGCGGUGAAAUGCGUAGAUAUAGGGGAGAACACUCGUGGCGAAGGCGGCCAGCUGGACCAGCCCUGACGCUGAGGCGCGACAGCGUGGGGAGCAAACAGG